rnacentral:rRNA from 1 species
UCUAUAACCGAAGCUGCGGAUGCCAGUUUACUGGCAUGGUAGGGGAGCGUUCUGUAGGCCGAUGAAGGUGCAUUGUAAAGUGCUGGAGGUAUCAGAAGUGCGAAUGUUGACAUGAGUAGCGAUAAAGCGGGUGAAAAGCCCGCUCGCCGAAAGCCCAAGGUUUCCUGCGCAACGUUCAUCGGCGUAGGGUGAGUCGGCCCCUAAGGCGAGGCAGAAAUGCGUAGUCGAUGGGAAACAGGUUAAUAUUCCUGUACUUGAUUCAAAUGCGAUGUGGGGACGGAGAAGGUUAGGUUGGCAAGCUGUUGGAAUAGCUUGUUUAAGCCGGUAGGUGGAAGACUUAGGCAAAUCCGGGUCUUCUUAACACCGAGAAGUGACGACGAGUGUCUACGGACACGAAGUAACCGAUACCACGCUUCCAGGAAAAGCCACUAAGCUUCAGUUUGAAUCGAACCGUACCGCAAACCGACACAGGUGGGCAGGAUGAGAAUUCUAAGGCGCUUGAGAGAACUCAGGAGAAGGAACUCGGCAAAUUGAUACCGUAACUUCGGGAGAAGGUAUGCCCUCUAAGGUUAAGGACUUGCUCCGUAAGCCCUGGAGGGUCGCAGAGAAUAGGUGGCUGCGACUGUUUAUUAAAAACACAGCACUCUGCUAACACGAAAGUGGACGUAUAGGGUGUGACGCCUGCCCGGUGCUGGAAGGUUAAUUGAAGAUGUGAGAGCAUCGGAUCGAAGCCCCAGUAAACGGCGGCCGUAACUAUAACGGUCCUAAGGUAGCGAAAUUCCUUGUCGGGUAAGUUCCGACCCGCACGAAUGGCGUAACGAUGGCCACACUGUCUCCUCCUGAGACUCAGCGAAGUUGAAGUGGUUGUGAAGAUGCAAUCUACCCGCUGCUAGACGGAAAGACCCCGUGAACCUUUACUGUAGCUUUGCAUUGGACUUUGAAGUCACUUGUGUAGGAUAGGUGGGAGGCUUUGAAGCAGAGACGCCAGUCUCUGUGGAGCCGUCCUUGAAAUACCACCCUGGUGUCUUUAAGGUUCUAACCCAGACCCGUCAUCCGGGUCGGGGACCGUGCAUGGUAGGCAGUUUGACUGGGGCGGUCUCCUCCCAAAGCGUAACGGAGGAGUUCGAAGGUUACCUAGGUCCGGUCGGAAAUCGGACUGAUAGUGCAAUGGCAAAAGGUAGCUUAACUGCGAGACCGACAAGUCGAGCAGGUGCGAAAGCAGGACAUAGUGAUCCGGUGGUUCUGUAUGGAAGGGCCAUCGCUCAACGGAUAAAAGGUACUCCGGGGAUAACAGGCUGAUUCCGCCCAAGAGUUCAUAUCGACGGCGGAGUUUGGCACCUCGAUGUCGGCUCAUCACAUCCUGGGGCUGUAGUCGGUCCCAAGGGUAUGGCUGUUCGCCAUUUAAAGUGGUACGUGAGCUGGGUUUAAAACGUCGUGAGACAGUUUGGUCCCUAUCUGCAGUGGGCGUUGGAAGUUUGACGGGGGCUGCUCCUAGUACGAGAGGACCGGAGUGGACGAACCUCUGGUGUACCGGUUGUCACGCCAGUGGCAUAGCCGGGUAGCUAAGUUCGGAAGAGAUAAGCGCUGAAAGCAUCUAAGCGCGAAACUCGCCUGAAGAUGAGACUUCCCUUGCGGUUUAACCGCACUAAAGAGUCGUUCGAGACCAGGACGUUGAUAGGUGGGGUGUGGAAGCGCGGUAACGCGUGAAGCUAACCCAUACUAAUUGCUCGUGAGGCUUGACUCU